GCCGAACUCAGGCGAACCAGCCGGCGCGGCUUCAUGAGCCGUAGGUCGUUGGUUCGAGUCCAACCACCG
rnacentral:tRNA from 1 species